rnacentral:rRNA from 1 species
AUUGAACGCUGGCGGCAGGCCUAACACAUGCAAGUCGAACGAGUGGCGGACGGGUGAGUAAUGUCUGGGAAACUGCCCGAUGGCGGGGGAUAACUACUGGAAACGGUAGCUAAUACCGCAUACCAUCGGAUGUGCCCAGAUGGGAUUAGCUAGUUGGUGGGGUAACGGCUCACCUAGGCGCCGAGCCCUAGCUGGUCUGAGCGGAUGACCAGCCAAACAGGAACUGUGACACGGUGCCGCCUCCUACGGGAGGCAGCAGGGGGGAAUAGUGCAAAUUGGGCGAAAGCCUGAUGCAGCCAUGCCGCGUGUAUGAAGAAGGCAUUAGGGUUGUAAAGUACUUUCAGUGGGUCGGGGUUACCCGCAGAAGAAGCGCCGGCUAACUCCGUGCCAGCAGCCGCGGUAAUAC